CUCUUUUUGAUUAUAAUUUAAAGUAGGGCCUGCCCACUGAUAAUUUAAAGGGCCGCAGUAUCUUAACUGUGCAAAGGUAGCAUAAUCAUUAGUUUUUUAAUUGAAAGCUGGAAUGAAUGGUUUGAUGAGAAAAUUUCUGUUUCAAUAUUAAUUUUUUAAAAUUUUAUUUUUAAGUUAAAAAGCUUAAAUAAAUAUAAAAGACGAGAAGACCCUAUAGAGUUUAAUUAAUUAUUAAUUUUUUUAAAUUAGAAUUUAUUUUAAAAGAUUUAUUUAUUAAUUUGAUUGGGGUGAUUAAAAAAUUAGAAAAACUUUUUUUAAAUUUUUACAUUUAUUUAUGAAUAUUUGAUCCAUUUAUAUGAUUAAAAGAAUAAAUUACCUUAGGGAUAACAGCGUAAUUUUUUUUAAGAGUUCUUAUUUAAAGAAAAGUUUGCGACCUCGAUGUUGGAUUAAAAUUAAUUUUUGGUGUAGAAGCUAAAAAAUUAGGUCUGUUCGACCUUUAAAAUUUUACA
rnacentral:rRNA from 1 species